AAGAAAGAGAAGAAGAGCGAACGGAGGAUGCCUUGGCUUCCGGAGGCGAAGAAGGACGUGGUAAGCUGCGAUAAGGCGCGGGGAUUUGCAAACAGGACGUGAUCCGCGCAUUUCCGAAUGGGGCAACCCGGCAGGUUGAAGACCUGUCACUGGCGAAAGCCAGAGCGAACCCGGGGAACUGAAACAUCUUAGUACCCGGAGGAGAAGAAAGAAAGAUCGAUAUCCUGAGUAGUGGCGAUCGAAAGGGACAGAGCCUAAACCGUAGUCGGUACGGCGAUUGCGGGGUCAUAGGAGCAGACA
rnacentral:rRNA from 1 species